CAGCAGAGAUGUACAGAACAUAGCAACCACCCUGGGAGGGCCUAUGGGCCAUAACAACCAGUUGACCAAUCAACACAGGGCAAGUCCUCCAAGCCUGGAGUCACAUCAUCCUGAGCCUGUGCGUACCCCUCGACACUCCCCUUAUGCUGCCCUAUAAGAUCUCUGUCCCGUGGUUUCUCCGGGUCUUUGUCACAGCCAUCUGCCACGGUGGAUGGACGAAAGGACGGAGCUAAUGGGGUUAGCUUGUUAAACUGCAAUAAAACCUCUUGCUGUUUGCAUCAAGCUUUUGCCCCCACCUGGUGAUUGGGAGUCGCCUCGGUCCUGGGCUGAAAUCCUGGGGGCCUGAGCCACUGGGUGUCUUUCAUUUGGGGGCUUGUCCAGGAUUUUCAACUACCCCUCACCUAAGUGGAGCCGAUCUUGGAGUUGUCCUGGAGGUCGUGAGACUGCUUUUACUGUGAUUGGUAGACGUGCCCAGAGGAUCGCAGACUGCUGCCAUGGGGGACGCUCCCAGGAGGAAUGGAGACCCAAGGAUGCUUGGGACUCUCCUUGGAUAGCGGUUGCAGCUGCCUGGUUCUGCCGCCUGUCUGCCCAGCACCAUUGCCUUCUGAGAUACUUUCAUUUUUGUGUCAUAAGCGGUGGGGAUGGAUUGGGUUGGCGUCUGUUCUUUUCUGUCUGUCUCUGUGUGUUUUUAUCAUUGGUUUUCAAUAUGGGACAGACUGUAACCACCCCCCUCAGUCCGACUCUUGGCCACUGGAUGGACAUUAAGGACAGAGCCCAUAGUCAGUUAAAGUUAAGAAAUAUAAAUGACAAACCAUCUGCACUUCAGGAUCCACCACGACACCCCCUUUCAUUGAGUCAUGUGGCGCCACACAAGGUAACUUUCUUUUUUCCUUGUUUCUGUAGUUUCUGUGAAGCCUGGAGGGUCAGAACAGGCUGUGUGACUGGCCAGUUGAGCAGGGCUCAUUAAAUAUACUUUUCUUGGGCUGGAGAGAUGGCUCAAAGUUUAAGAGUACUGACUGCUCUUCUAGACGUCCUGAGUUCAAUUCCACAUGGUGGCUCAUAACCAUCUGUAAUGAGAUCUGGUGCCCUCUUCUGGUGUGCAGAUAUACAUGGAAGCAGA
rnacentral:lncRNA from 1 species